rnacentral:rRNA from 1 species
UGCAGUCGUACGAGAAAGUCCGCUUCGGUGGAUGAGUAAAGUGGCGCACGGGUGAGUAACGCGUGGAUAAUCUACCCUUUAGUCUGGAAUAACUUAUCGAAAGGUGAACUAAUACCGGAUAAUAUCCCGAUUUCUUCGGCGAUCGGGAUCAAAGAAGGCCUCUGCUUGCAAGCUUUCACUGAAGGAUGAGUCCGCGUACCAUUAGCUAGUUGGCAGGGUAAUGGCCUACCAAGGUUAUGAUGGUUAGCUGGUCUGAGAGGAUGAUCAGCCACACUGGAACUGAAACACGGUCCAGACUCCUACGGGAGGCAGCAGUGAGGAAUAUUGCGCAAUGGGGGCAACCCUGACGCAGCAACGCCGCGUGAGUGAGGAAGGUUUUCGGAUUGUAAAGCUCUGUCGAGCGGAAAGAAGUGCAUGGUGGUUAAUAUCCAUCAUGCUUGACGGUACCGCUAAAGGAAGCACCGGCUAACUCCGUGCCA